GAUGAAGAACGCAGCGAAAUGCGAUAAGUAAUGUGAAUUGCAGAAUUCAGUGAAUCAUCGAAUCUUUGAACGCACAUUGCGCCCGCUAGUAUUCUGGCGUGCAUGCCUGUCCGAGCGUCAUUUCAACCCUCAAGCCCCCGGGCUUGGUGUUGGGGAUCGGCGAGCCUCCGCGCCCGCCGUCCCCUAAAUCUAGUGGCGGUCUCGCUAUAGCUUCCUCUGCGUAGUAGCACACCUCGCACUGGGAAACAGCGCGGCCACGCCGUUAAACCCCCAACUUCUGAACGUUUGACCUCGGAUCAGGUAGGAAUACCCGCUGAACUUAAGCAUAUCAAUAAGCGGAGGA
rnacentral:misc_RNA from 1 species